AUUAAAUUUCCCAGAAAUAAUCUUAUACAAUUGAAAAUAUUUUGUGCUCAUGUGAUAGAAAGAGUGUGACGUUGUGAUCAUCCGAUAUUACGUCAUCGUUAUCCCCCUUCCUCUUUUACAACCGGCGCUCAUUCUAUCGUGAAACAUGUUCGGAGCACAUUUAUAUAUUAGACGUGACAUAUUCAUUGUGUGAAAUUAGUUUUCAACUGACCGUGUUUUAAUUUGCAAUUACUAUUUCCUUCGACAACUGAAAGGUGUAUCUAUUUAAAAACAACUCACGCACAUACAAAUACCAUACCAUUUAAACCUGGGGUUCGUAGUACCGUUAUUCCACCCCUGGUUGCAUACUAAACGCAUGGAAUGCGCAGAAUGUCGACAAGAAGUGUUAUGGCAGGCGUCUGCUACAUCAGCCGUUAGGAUUUUUAUGGAUCUAACAUUGAAACAAUAAAAAAUGUCUAGAAAGCGUGCUAGAGAAGAAACUAUGUUGAAUUCUACAUCUUAUUCAAAUAUUCAAAAUGGAGAAGAUGCAUCUUGUUCCAGGGAAGAUUCACCUGUUUAUCCUCUAGUGACAAUGACUUGGGGGAUCAACAGGAAUUCAAAUAAUGAAUCAGGUCGAAAUUUGCCGAAAAAGUAUAGUAGCGAAAGUUCUGUUUACCAUAAAGAACUUCCAUCAAUUUGUAAGGAAGCUCCCUUUAGUGAUGAUCCAGAAGCACUAGCUGAACGAAAUGCGUGUGAUUAUAAUAUUCGUAUUACAUUAAAAAUGGCAAAAAAUGGUAAAGCUCCUAGGAAAAUUAGAGUCUAUGCAGAUGGUAUUUAUGAUCUGUUUCAUCAAGGACAUGCACGACAACUUCUACAAGCAAAAAAUAUUUUCUCUAAUGUAUAUCUUAUUGUAGGAGUUUGUAAUGACCAAUUAACACAUAGUAAAAAGGGAAGAACAGUUAUGACAGAUAUUGAAAGAUAUGAUGCAGUAAGACAUUGUCGCUAUGUAGAUGAAGUAGUUAGGGAUGCACCUUGGGAACUGGAUGAUGAAUUUCUUACAAAGCAUAAAAUCGACUUUGUUGCUCAUGAUGAUAUACCUUAUAUGACAGAUGAUAGUACAGAUGUUUAUGCAGGUUUGAAAGCUAAGGGUAUGUUUGUAGCUACACAAAGAACAGAAGGGGUAUCAACAUCUGAUAUUGUUGCAAGAAUAGUUAAAGAUUACGAUAUUUAUGUAAGAAGAAAUCUUGCGCGAGGCUAUAGUGCCAAAGAACUUAAUGUUUCUUUUCUCAAUGAAAAGAAAUUUCGUUUACAAAAUAAAUUUGAUGAUCUGAAAGAUAAGGGAAAACGAGUGAUGGAAAAUAUUGGUGAGAAACGCAUGGAUAUGAUUAGCAAAUGGGAAGAAAAAUCACGGGACUUUAUUGACGCUUUUCUCCUUUUAUUUGGAAGAGAAGGUAGAUUGUCAACAAUUUGGAAUGAAAGUAAAGGUCGUUUGAUGCAAGCAUUAUCUCCGCCUGCAAGUCCAAAAAGAGAUGGCAGUCCGAAUGGCAGUAAUAGCAGCAAUAAUGAUGAAGAUCAGACAAGGUACAUCACAGCAUUCGCGUCAAUUGACUAACAUGCAACACCACUUCAUUCUGUACUGCUUCUCUGUAUGAAAACCUUCACACCAUCCAUUUGCAGCAUGUUAUUCCACCACCAAAAAAGACUGGCCGUUUUGAAUACUCGCAGAGUAAUUAUUAUUUAAGUGAUGAUUAUAGCGAUGAUGAAGAAGAAAAUUUACACUCCAAAUGAUAACUCCUUUUUUCAAAAUCACAUUCUUUAUUUUGACCAAAAAUAUCGUGCAAUCUCUUUGAAACUGUUCAAAGAUAUUUUAAUGCAGCUAUGUGAUUUCAUAAUAUGGAUUAUAAUAUUAUGCUUAAUAGUGUUUUUAUGGUAUGAUUUCAUACUAUAUACAACAUAAAAUUAUCUGUUAUAAUGUUUUCAUUCAAUCCACGCACGGAUUAUUAUAUAUUAAUUAGAUUGCAUAUAGUAUACGGACAGUACAUACAUAGAAAAGUCAUGCAAAUUAUUUAAAACUUUUGUUGCUACUAUUGAGACUUUCAUUAUUGUUGUAUUAUGAAUAAGUUCCUAUAUUUCAAGCGAUACUUUAUCAUUCAUUUUGAGUUUCAUAUUAUGCCACAAAAACUAAUAGUCAAAAGACAUAUUUGCAUCUUGUGCAGAAGACUUUGAGUGUAUUCAGUUAACAAUUUGUAAUAAUUUUCAAUUCUUUUAUUGCUAAUUUUAUAUAACACUUUUUUACAAGUUACCUCAUAAUUAAUUACAUAAUAUAUAUUUGCAGUGAGUAUCUUUGCUGCAGUUAGUAUUAAAUGAUAUUUUUAUUCAACAUAAUGUUGUUUAUGAGAAGUUAGUCUAUAUAAAAUUAAUAUUUAUUUAUAUCUUAAAACUUAUGUUAUUAAUAGAAUGGCAAUAUGAAAAUAAGAAGAACUAUUUGUCAAAUAUAUAAAUUUAAUUUAAUGUAUCAAGGAUAUUAAAAAAUUUGAAUAGUACUAAACAAAUUUAGCUAUAUUAUUUUAUAAAUAAUUAUUCUUGUUUAUAAUCAAAAAGUGUUUAUAAAAGAUACAAAUUCGUAAUUUAUUUUUAUUACUAAAUAAUUAUGUGUAGUAAAAUUUCGAUAAAAUUCACUGGAUAAAAACACAAAUUCAAAUCAAAAUAAAUAUAGGAUUUUUAAUUUAAAUAACAACACGUCAAAAUAGAAAGAAAUUAUUUUAAAGACGGUGCUUUCAUUUGAAUAUAUGUAGAUAUAACCCUGGAAUGGUACAACCAUUUUUAUAUUUUUAAACCAUAACGUAGUUUUAUAAUAUUCUUAUAUUUAUGAAAUAUUUGAAUGAAAUAUUUUCUUAAUAUAUAAAUGAAAUAUAUAAUAAAGAUAUUUAUUAUUAUUUUCGGUAUAUAGCAUUCAGAAUAAACUAAUUUUUAACACACAAAUUAGAAACACUGUUAAUAGCAUAUAUGUAGUUCCAGGGAUUCAAACAUAUAUUAGAUGAAAUUAGAUAUAAAUUUGAAGGUUAAUAUGUACGAAAGAUCUGAAAAAAAUAUGUACAUAUAAAUUUGUAUACAUUGAAGCGUUUCUGUUUCUUAAAAAGUACCAAUGGUGCCUGAGUUUGACAUCUUUUAUUUAAAUACAUAUAAAAUAAUAUAUUUCCAUAAAGCACGUUAUAGAAAAUUUUUGAAGUAUAUUAAUGUUUGCUUCCCAAUGUAACUGGUGCAUAAAUUAGUAAUAUGUAAUAUGUGAUAAGAUGUAGAUAUACUUUCGAUAUCUUUUUUAAGGAAUACAUCUAACAAUUAUUAGAUACGCACAUUUUUAUGAUCCAUAAAAUAAAUUUAUGUAAUUUCGAUAACUUCUCUAUAAAAAGAAAAACAUUAUUAAUUUAUGGUUUUGAAACGAAAAAUUGAUAUCCACAUUGUCAGAAAAUAUAUUUACAUAAGUGCAAAUGCAAAAUGUAGUAAUGUUCCAUAUUAUUUAUAUAAGAGGAAAAAUAAAACUUAUUUAAUGAAA